rnacentral:rRNA from 1 species
GACGAGCGCUGGCGGCGUGCUUAACACAUGCCAGUCGAACGGAAAGGCCCUGCUUUUGUGGGGUGCUCGAGUGGCGAACGGGUGAGUAACACGUGAGUAACCUGCCCUUGACUUUGGGAUAACUUCAGGAAACUGGGGCUAAUACCGGAUAGGAGCUCCUGCUGCAUGGUGGGGGUUGGAAAGUUUCGGCGGUUGGGGAUGGACUCGCGGCUUAUCAGCUUGUUGGUGGGGUAGUGGCUUACCAAGGCUUUGACGGGUAGCCGGACUGAGAGGGUGACCGGCCACAUUGGGACUGAGAUACGGCCCAGACUCCUACGGGAGGCAGCAGUGGAGAAUAUUGCACAAUGGGCGGAAGCCUGAUGCAGCAACGCCGCGUGCGGGAUGACGGCCUUCGGGUUGUAAACCGCUUUCGCCUGUGACGAAGCGUGAGUGACGGUAAUGGGUAAAGAAGCACCGGCUAACUACGUG